rnacentral:rRNA from 1 species
UACGAAGGGGGCUAGCGUUACUCGGAAUCACUGGGCGUAAAGCGCACGUAGGCGGAUUGUUAAGUCAGGGGUGAAAUGCCAAGGCUCAACCUUGGAACUGCCUUUGAUACUGGCAAUCUCGAGUCCGGGAGAGGUGAGUGGAACUGCGAGUGUAGAGGUGAAAUUCGUAGAUAUUCGCAAGAACACCAGUGGCGAAGGCGGCUCACUGGCCCGGUACUGACGCUGAGGUGCGAAAGCGUGGGGAGCAAACAGG